GUCUCCCAGCUUUGGCGCAUUCCCCUCUUUGCGCUUUUUAACUUCAGAUUUUAGGGUUUCAAGUUUGAACUCGCUUGUCCCUCUCGUUUGAAAUAAACAUUGUGAGGGACGACGUUGUUUCUACUCGUGCAAUGGAGGAAAUUGCAUCCAAUUUGCGAGUGGCUGGGAUGAAACUAGAUUACUUGGGAAGAGCGUACGAGCAGUUGCAAUCCCAAGCUUCCUCUUUCCUUUUGUUCUCUCUCCAAUGGAAGGAUUUGCAGGAACAUUUUGAUUCCCUCAGUAAAAUGAUUGGAGAUCGCUUGGAAACUCUCAAUGUCCGUGAAAAAGAGGUUGGGUUAAAGGAGAAUCAACUGAGUGUCAUCAAGAAGCACUUGGAUGAGUGCUCCAAACUGGUUGUCGAGAAAGAGGAACGGUUGCUUCUUGUCCAGAAGUCCUUAGAUGAGUGUAACGAGGAAGUUGACUCACAAGGCAAGAAACUGGAAGAAAUUAGAAGGUUGAGUCAACAAGCUUCCAAUGAUUUCGGAUUGAAGGAGAAACAUCUUGCUUCGCUCUAUGCUUUGAUUCAAGAACAUGCUGAAGAGCUUGAAAAGAAGGAGAAGAACUGGAACGCGAUGCAGAAGUCAAUCGCUGAAUCCUCUGCUCAACUUGAGGCGAAAGAGAAAGAACUUGCUUCGGUUCAAAAAUCAAUAGGUGAGUACACGAUAAAAGCAAAAGCUAAAGAGAAGAAAUUGCUCUUGAUGGAGAAAGAUAUUGAAGAGCGAUCCAAAGAGCUUGAAAAGAAGGGAAAAGACCUUAGUAAUGUACAACGACAAUUGAGAUUAUGUCGCCAAGAUAUUGAAUUGAAAGAGAGAGAAUAUCAUGCCAUUGAAAGAAGUAUUGAAGAACGUGGCAAGGAGUUGAAUGCAGGGGGAGAAGAACUGAAAUCUAUCCAGAAAUCGAUAAGCAACUACGAGAAGCUGCUGGAAGAGUAUAAUAGGGAUCUUAAAAUGAUCACGGAUUUGGUCAUUGAACGUGAACAAAUGCUCAAGUCAAUACAGAGGAACAUUGGAGAAUGUAACAGGGAUCUUGGAAAAAAGGAAGAAGGACUCGUUUAUUUGAAAGGCUUGAUUAAAGAACGUGAGGAGAAUUUCAGUUUAAUAGAUGCUGAAUUUCAGGCACUAUCAAAGAAACAUAAAAAUGAUUAUGAAAAGAGGGAGGGGGAACUCAAGUCUAUCCAAAAGAAAAUUACUCAAUGUGAUGAGGAGCUCAAGACAAAAGAGAAAGCACUUGAUUCAAUACAGAAGUCAAUUUUUGGACUUGCUAAGGAACUAGAAUCAAAAGGGAAAAACUAUGAUGACCUUGUAGCAAAAGAGGAAGAACUCAAGUCUUUGCAGAAAAGAAUUGAUCAUCAGGUUGGAGAGCUUGAAAAAGACAAGAAAGAUUUUGAUUUGAGCAAACUUCAGACAAAAGAAAGGUUCAUGGAACUUGAAAUGAAACAGAAACAAUUUGAAGAACGAGCAAAGAACCUUGAGUCAAAAGAGAAGCAAUUUAAUGGACAAGUGAAGAAGCUCAAGUUGAAAGAGAAACAGUUUGAAGAGCAAGUGAAGGAGCUUGAGUCCAGAGAAAAGCAAGUUGAGUUAUUAAGAAAAUCAUUUGAAGAUGAAAAGGUGUUGCUAGAGAUGGGAAAUAUCUUCCUGCCACAUGUGAAGACUGAGGAACUGGAUUUUGUAGAUACCAAUGGUUUCGAGAAUAGCAGGAAUUUGCAAGCACUUUUUAACAAGCUUCUGAAAACUUAUGAGUUGGUAUGCCUUGAGGUAUCAACUGCUCUCCAAGCAUCAGCAGACCCUGCUAAAUUGGUGCUAGAUGCAAUGCAAGGUUUUUAUCCUUCAAAUUCGAACCAAGAGGACAUGGAAUAUGAUGCAAAUAUUAUAAGGAGGAGCUGUAUUCUUUUGCUAGAUGAAUUGAAGAAAUAUUCUCCACUAAUUGGUUCUCAUGUGAAAGAAGAAUCAAUGAAGUUGGCAAGUGAGUGGAAGGAGAAUUUGUCUGUAGGUAAUAAGGAUUGUUUGGAGGUCCUGGGUUUUCUGAAGCUUGUGGCUACAUAUGAUCUAGGUUCAUCCUUUAAUGCGAGUGAACUUCAUUUGCUUCUAGAUAUUAUUUCCCAGCACUGUCAGAAAUCUGAAUUACAACAAGUCCUGGGUAUUGUUAAUACUUUUCCCGACAACCAGUUCAAUGAUUCCGAAGAUGGAAGAAAUUUGCAUUUGAUUGCAAAUCAACAAGCAAAUGCAAACGAGUUGAUGGGCAGUGGCAUUUUUGUUGAUCUCCAAACAUCAGAUCCAGCAAAACUUGUUAUAAAUAUGAUAAGGCACCCUAUUGUUUCGCGAAGUACAAAGGAAGAGAAAACUGCAAUCAUUGCUGGAGGUCACAUUAUUUUGCUGAAGUGGCUUAUGAGAAUCUCACCAGAUAUUAAACCACAAGUAAGAGAAGAAGCAAUGAAGCUAGCCCUUGAGUUGAAGGCUGAGAUGAGAACAAGUACUGAAAAUUCUUUGGAGGUUCUGGGAUUUCUACUGAUUUUGUCCAUUUAUGGUUUAGCAUCAUCAUUUGAGGAAGAUGAAAUUUUAGAGCUCUUCGAGAUUGCUGCUCACCACAAACAAGCUGUAGAGCUUUAUCAGACACUUGGUUUUGCAAACAAAGUUUCUGCAGAUUUUGUUCUUAAUCUUAUCAAGAAGCAGAAGCCUGCUGAAGCUGUUAGAUUUAUAUGCGCUUAUGAGUUGGCUGACAAGAUCCCACCAGUUGAUCUCUUGAGAGAAUAUGUGCAGAAUGCAAAGAUGGUUUCCAAGAAAAGUUCGUUUGAAACUAAGGAUAAGGCUAGAGAUGAAGAAUUAGCUUGUCUGCGAACUGUCUUGAAGUGCGUUUCAGACAACGAUCUUGAAUGUCAGGAUCUGGUUAAGGAGAUUCACAACCGCAUUGAUGAGCUGAGACGGCUGAAGGCAAACGGGUUUGGCACUACACCAGGGCCUUCUUCCAAAGUCGAAGAGCAACGGCUAGAACAAAAGAAACAUAGUAACGAGGGAUUCACCAAGAAGCGUCAAGUACAACCUUGUAACAACAAAAAACGUCCUCGAACUGCUAAAAGACCCUCUUUAGUUCCGGACAGUAUGGAAAUCGCGGAAGACACUACUCUCACUCCUAGCUAUACCCCUUCAAGGUGACCCAGAUAUGGACGUUGUAAAAUGCCAUGCUAUAUAUGGUCACGACAAGGUUCGUACUUGGAUCUCAGCCUUCUAGUCUUUUAAGCAGGGAAAAAAAAAAAACAAAGGCUAUUCAUAUACGCGAAGAAUAGAUGGUGUAAUUGAAUUGUUUCAAUCAAAGAUUUGCUCGAGAUUCGUCUUCUACGAACACGCAAAACAGGUGAGGAGACUGAAUUGCUUCAACUAAAUAUUUAUUUGAAUUUCAGUUUACAUUUAACAAAAAUACAUUUAGGGAUUUAA